CCGCCAUCUUUGUUGAGGGCACACAACGUGUAAGCCCAGAUGGUCUUUCGGUGCAAUUCCACUUUCUCCUCCACGCUUCACGUUCUCAAGCUAUGCUGGAAAAGUAUGAGAAAGAGACGGAGCCGAAGGGUGAACUUUACGCUGAAGCUUGUCGAGCGUCGCGCCGCUGACGUCACGACCGGCGUCUCCGCCAUCUUAGUUGUGGCUUAAAGAGGUGGCGAUUUCGGAAGUGCGGCGUGUGUGCUGCUGUGUAGAUGCUGAGACUAUGUGGGCUUGGCGUGGUGCUGAGCCUGGUCGCGGCGGCGGCGGCGGUCGUGGCCAUGUGGUUGAUGGACUGGUGGGGUCCCCGCCCUGGCCUUCGCCUCUUCGUACCCGAGGAGCUAGCCCGCUAUCGCGGCGGCCCGGGAGACCCGGGUCUGUACUUGGCGUUGCUCGGCCGCGUCUACGACGUGUCCUCUGGCCGGAGGCACUACGAGCCUGGGGCGCACUAUAGCGGCUUCGCAGGCCGGGAUGCAUCUAGAGCGUUUGUGACAGGAGACUUUUCUGAAGCUGGACUCGUGGAUGAUGUAACUGGCUUGUCCUCCUCUGAGAUACUGAUACUUCAAAAUUGGAUUUCAUUCUACGAGAAAAAUUAUGUAUUUGUCGGGAGACUGGUUGGAAGGUUCUACGGAGAGGAUGGGCUGCCCACUCCAGAACUAACCCAGGUGGAGGCCAUGGUGGCCAAAGGCGCGGAGGCGAGUGAACAGCAACAGAAAGAAAAGCGUAGGUUCCCUCCGUGCAAUGCCGAGUGGAGCUCUGCUAAGGGGAGCCGGGUCUGGUGCUCCCAGAAGAGUGGAGGUGUGAACAGAGACUGGACUGGUGUCCCCAGGAAGCUGUAUAAGCCAGGGGCCAAGGAGCCCCACUGUGUGUGUGUGAGAACAACUGGCCCCUCUAGUGACCAGCAAGACAACUCUAGACACCUAAAUCGUGGGGACUUGGACAACCCCAACUUGGAAGAAUACCCAGGCUGCUCACCUCUGGCCAUCGAGUGUUCCUUCCCACCCUAAGAUGGUGUCCUGUAUGUUGAUGACACAUGGAGAACCUUCCCUAGAUCUCCAGAAAGCCCUUAAUAUUUAUGCUCUAGGAGGCUCCUGGCAGGAAAACAGGAGGGUCAAGGACUCCACCCUCACCCUGCAAAUGUGUGUCACAAUUCUGUUGGCUGAGACAGGAGCAUGAUAACCUACCUGGUAUGGUCAGUUUGUUUGACACUGUUUGGAACCUUGGUCCCCUGUCAUCUUCCUUCAGAGCCUGCAGUCAUUCAUGAACACAGUGAUCAACGUAGAGCUGCCUGGAGAAAGUCUGUGAGCUCCAGCAAGGGACUUCCCACAGACUCAUUGCUGCCCUAAACAGAGCUUGGGCUCUGCCAUCAUGCCAGUCCUGCUGAGACUUGGAGCAGUAGCAGAACAAGACUGUGGCUCUCAGCAGAGAAGCAGGCAUUUCCCAAGAAGCCUCAGAUCUUGCAGAAUCAAGAGUUGAACAGCUUUAUGGACCAGAUUUUAAUCUGCAGGCCACUAGACCUUCCUUGACAUUCUCUGAAGCCCACAGUGCCAGCCCCCACCACCUUUUUCUUCAUAUUUGCCAGUGACUCCAAAGAAACAAUGCUGCUAAGCGCCAUGGUCCCAGAUGAUGCUGUCAUUCCCACACUGAGCACCACCAGAGUGGUUUGGAAGCCAAAGUGAUCUAUCCAAACAUGUGCCUGCAGUUUUAAAGGCCCAGCUGCCGCCUUGUCCUUGGUCCUACAAGGAUGUCACAGAACACCCAGCUCCACACGGCUCCCAAACAGGCAAGUCAGUAAGUCCAGCUGUCCCCAGACUCCCUUGCUAUAGAAAACCAAUGCUGUCAGGUGUAACAAUUAAUAUAUUAUUUAUGCCACACGAAAGAGGAACUGUAUAGGCAGUGAUCCUCCAGAGAAAGGCUUUAAGGCAUCUUUGACAUUGGGAAUUUAACUAUUUAGUUAACCAGUCACACACUCAGGUUUUCAUUAGAUCAGUUCUGUAGUGAGCAUGGCUCAGAGGCCUUUGCUGAGCUGCUUCCUCUGUUGGGCUGGCAAGGGAACUCUUUGGCUUCAGGUGGCUCUAGGGGGCUGGACCUGAAGGAAGCCAGUGUUUGUGGGGGAGGCAUACAUUUACUUGUACAUGAUGCUAUUGCUGCCUCUCAGGCCGAAGUAUUUGGCAGUUCAGCCAAGUUCUUUUCUCCAGGUAAGGAAAUCCUAGAUGGAGGCUUUGCCCUCCACCCCUUGUCUGCGAACAAGCCUAGGGCUGGAACAGUUGAGUAUGGGGGGCAGGCACGACUUGGGAAGGGCAGUGAGACCACACACCCAGUUCCCUGAAAGACCCAUUCAAGGAAAAGGAGGAAGCUGACAGGUAGUCAAACAACUCAGGGCUCUGAGGUAGAGGAUAAAACAUCAUGUGGACCCCACUCCUUGGAGAGACUAUGGCAGGUGAACUGAGCAGUCUAAUAUUCAGCCUUGACUGAAUUAGUUUUUGGGGUGGAAUAGGCCCAGAACUAGUGUUGUAACACAUCACUGAGUGAGACACCAGUGAAAGACAACUGGAAACAAGGGAGUCCUCAGUGUAGGCACUUAAGCUGGUGGGACAUCGCUGUUAGAGGGUCAUAGCAAACUAGUUUCAGCACAUGGUUUGUACCUGUCUUUAAAAAAACACAAAAAGCCCUAAUGAUGCAGUACACAGUAAGACUGGAGCUGCAUAAGAGGCAGUUAAACAGCUAGGCAAGCACAGCAGUGCUAACUGAUGCAGCAAUUGUGUUUCAGUGACGUUGAUUCUUCCUGCUCUGCUCAUUCACAACUGGCAACUUUUUGAAUUAAUAAAAUGAAGUUUUGCUGCAAGUUGUCAAGGUAUUGAUUAAGACUGAACAAGAACAGCUAAGCAGUUCCAUGGUGAAGUCUGGUCAGCAUGGAGAGAGCACAGGAGAGACACAGGAAGUCUGGUCCUGGCCAGGGCAGUGCACAGCAGGAGUGUAGGGCAGGGAGCAUGGCAUGGUCGGGCUGUGGAAGGAUGCCUGAGCCAUGUCUACAGCAUGGGUACCGAUGCCCAAGUCACACAGCCUCUUUCCGCCAUAGCUGGUCACUAUGUUGACCUCUGAAGGAACAGAAGCUUGAACCCACAUAUUUUGGGGCAUGAUCUUCAGGUUUUAAGUACAGUUAUAGGCAAAAUUGUUACUGAAACUGGUGUUGUAGGGCAAGGACAAAAUGGUCAGCUUCAUCCUGAUUUCCUAUUUUCCCCUCUCCACUGUGAUCAUAAAAAAACAAGUUUAUGUGUACCAACCACCUUGGUUCAUAGCAGAACCAUAAUUACCUUCCUCAUUAAAAAAAAAUCAUGGUACCAACUAAAUUCUAGGUCUCUGUGAUCCCUUUUAGGCAACAAUAAAUUGGAAACAGACCACAUGCUUCCUUCAUAUAGUUGUUGGCCAAGACUGGCUAAAUAUUUCCAUAAAAAUUCCCUAUGAAGUAAGUCACAGGCUGGGGGACAGUGGCACUCCUCCAAGUAACUCUUCCUUUCAACCCCUGCAUACCAGCUAAUAUUAAACAUAUAAAUCACACAAGUACUUUCAGGAAGUAGCACACUGGUUUCUCAGCACAUUUUCUACGUAUGUAGGCAGUUAAAGAGUCUAACUCUACAGAAUGGAGGACAUCCCACUAGCCAAGAAAGAGAGCAAUGCCAAAAGAAGUCCCUUUAUUCAUACAUCCGUACUCCAUUAAUGCAGAUAAUGGGGGGCUAUCAACUGUCUCAAAAAGAUCAGUGUGUGUGAUGGACACUGUUAAUCUCUGAGUGUAACUAGUGUUCAUCUCAGAGUAGUUGUGUUUUUGUUUCUUUAAAAAAAAAAAAAGUGGUAGAACUUUCUCCUUCAGUGUGCAAUAUAAUAAAAUUGAAAAAAAAUUAAAUUCCAAGCCAGAAACAACCCAAAACACUGGCCAAACAUUAAAAAGAAAGAGGCCCAGCAUCCCAGGGUUAAUACAGGCAGCAGGAAGAACCAACGCCCUGUGCUUCAGAGCCUUGCUCCACAUUUCAGCCAGACUUCCAAAACAGGCUGCUCAUAGUUUGGCCGGGCCUUGGCUGCUGGCUCUGAUGGGCAGGGCACUACUCAGAACUGGCCCCAGCAGCACUCAGCAUGCACGGCAAGCUUUUAGCAGGAAGGAUGUGUCAGGGAGAGAGGACCUGGACUGAAGUCAUACUCAUCUUUCUCAUCAGUAUGAGUUUCUUCCUUCUUGGCAGUUUUCCCUUUAAGAUCAGUGUGUGCUGAGGUUUAGUCCGAGCUGGCCAUCAGAGUCACUAUAGAAGGGAUGUGAAGGGAUUUUUGAGUUGGAUUCACCAAUGAUGCAGCUUUAGAAAAAGUGCAGCACAGUCAAAGUGCAUUUCUUCUACCACUCAAGUGGCAGCGACUGAGGACUCCACAGACAGGACGCAGCAAGACGAGAGAAUGAGACAGCUGCUAGGUGUCAAGCUGCCACUGCACUCUGACACCCAGCAGUAUCAACAUUGGUAAAGCUUCAGUUGUUAAGGCCACAAUUUUUCAGCUCUCAUCUUUGAACCCUGUUUAGAAAGAUUUCACCUUUUUAAAGGGGGCAGCUCACUAAAAAAUACAGCUUAGCUUAAAAAAGAAAGAAAAGACUUGAGGGCAAGAGGUUCCUAUUAUCUUUAUGAAAACACUGUGCAUUAAAGGCCACAGCCGCGUAGAGGAGCCGCCACCCUAGAGUAAUCAGCUCUGUCUGGCAGCUGCUCUCUACUCUGUCAGGCUCUGCCUCUGAGUCAGCCCAGGCAGGAAGACUGAAUUCUCCGAGAUGGACGCUAUACUAUCAGAAGGGAACAUUGACUCCAAGUGUCCUUAUGUGCUGCUAGCCGAUGCCUAUCACAUGGGUCACCCAGGCUACACUGGCCUGGUCCAACCAGUGAGACAUCUAGUGCAAUAGACCACAGUUUGACACAGUCAUACAGAAUCGUCUGAAAUGGGAUCACACCAGGGUCUGUAAUUGUUCCAGUCUUCUGCCACAGGAAGACAACUGCCAGCUCUUGCUCUGGGUAGGAGGCAGGCUGGUGAGUAGAGCAGCUGCUGGGGAGGUACCAGGGGAUGCAGGCCUGGACCCUCCUGGGGCUCACUAGGAGACUCCACCCAGAGUCAGUACAUCAAAGCAAAUGUUGCAAACCCGCACAGGCUUGUUCAGGUCAAACUUUAUAAUAGGAAUCUCCUUGGUUGAGCAUUUAUGGCAAAGAAGACGGCCGCAGUGACGACUGUGGAGGCAAAGAAAGAAGUGUGAGGAGCACUGAAAAGCAGAUUGUUCCCAAAUGGCCAGCGAAGCCAGUCUCUGACUGGCAUCUGUGGCCAACUCUGCCAACUGCCAGCCAAAUCACACCAAGUCCCAUAUCAUAUUUAGUUCUUAACAAAAUACCAACUAGUAGCUAAGCUAAAGCAAACAGCAAGACUAUAAGCUGCCCACCUUGCUAAGACUGCCGUCUAGUCCUUAGCACCCUGUGAGGCAGUGAUGGAACCUUAGCACCCAGGAAAGCUGCAAGUCUGGGUGCUCCUGCUUUCCCUAUUCUCCCUUCACAGUGGAUCCUGCUCAGUUCUACCAUCUCCUCAUUCUGUCUGGUUAACUUCUGCCCAGGAGCGGCUCAGGCCCUGACGGGCUCAUGGCUCACAUCAUGGACAAGUACGGAAGUGAUGACACAGCUGAAGCUCCUGCUUCUCUGCAAAUGGCGGUGGGGCCUUUCUUACCAGUGAUGUUUGCGAGUUGUGACUCCAAACUUGGCAGUGCACUCAUAGCAGUUGGAGCCGUCACACCACGGAGGCUCCUUGGAGAGCAUAUCUGUAACACACACAGAAGACUACUUGUUACCCAGUGAUGUGCUGGACAGACUAGGCUGCAGAGGAGGAGCAGGACAUUCCAACUGGUCAGGGGAAGCUUCCCAGAGGAGCCUGGAGAAUCAGCAUUUGCCAGGCAUGCUGGAACAGAAGGAAACCCAGCUGGAGGUGUGAAUCAGCGGCAUGUGUGGGGUAACACACUAUGAGAGCAGAGACCACACCACAGAAAAACUGCCAGGGGCUCAAGGGUUGGAAACAGUAGAGGGAAUCACAACAAAGGAAACAAGGAAGAGGAAUCUGAAUUUAGGGGCUGUUUGAACAGACAAGUGGGACGUGAGAACAACAAAGAGACAAAGGGAUCUCGGGGUUCUGGAUAGCGGGAUUCAGUCUGGUGGGACCAACAGAGAGAUGGCCUGAAGAACAAACUAAUGCAGAGAAGUUGUAGUUGCACUUUGUAAAUUGGCAAAGUAUCCUGGGCAGGGUGCUGCUGCUCUGUACAGAGAGGGGCAGCAAAUGGGUUGAACACAGGGAGCUAGAAUUGCCACAGGCACCUACUGAGUGCUGAAAAGGCUGACCAAGUGCAUACCAUAGGGACAACUAAGACUAUAUAUAACAACACAAAGCUUUCUUUAUAACGUAAAUACGUAAGUAAGUAUUAGUAGUAGGGUUGGAGAGAUAGCUCAAUGGUUAAGGACUCCAAUACCAGGGGGUAUGACACCCUCUGGUCUCUGAGGGCACCUACAUGAAAGAGGUACAUAUAAACUCACACAGGUACACAUACAU